UUCUGAACCGUGGUGCUCCUCUUGGA
rnacentral:piRNA from 1 species